UACGGAGGGUGCGAGCGUUGUUCGGAAUCACUGGGCGUAAAGCGCGUGUAGGCGGCCUUCUAAGUUUGAUGUGAAAGCCCGGGGCUCACCCCCGGAAGUGCAUUGGAUACUGGAAGGCUGGAGUACCGGAGAGGAGGGUGGAAUUCCUGGUGUAGCGGUGAAAUGCGUAGAUAUCAGGAGGAACACCUGUGGCGAAGGCGGCCCUCUGGACGGAUACUGACGCUGAGACGCGAAAGCGUGGGGAGCAAACAGG
rnacentral:misc_RNA from 1 species